AUUGAACGCUGGCGGCAUGCCUUACACAUGCAAGUCGAACGGAAACAGGUCUUCGGAUGCUGACGAGUGGCGAACGGGGGAGUAAUACAUCGGAACGUGCCCGAUCGUGGGGGAUAACGAAGCGAAAGCUUUGCUAAUACCGCAUAAGAUCUAAGGAUGAAAGCAGGGGACCGCAAGGCCUUGCGCGAACGGAGCGGCCGAUGGCAGAUUAGGUAGUUGGUGGGAUAAAAGCUUACCAAGCCGACGAUCUGUAGCUGGUCUGAGAGGACGACCAGCCACACUGGGACUGAGACACGGCCCAGACUCCUACGGGAGGCAGCAGUGGGGAAUUUUGGACAAUGGGCGAAAGCCUGAUCCAGCCAUGCCGCGUGCAGGAUGAAGGCCUUCGGGCUGUAAACUGCUUUUGUACGGAACGAAAAGACUCUUUCUAAUAAAGAGGGUCCAUGACGGUACCGUAAGAAUAAGCACCGGCUAACUACGUGCCAGCAGCCGCAGUAA
rnacentral:rRNA from 1 species